rnacentral:rRNA from 1 species
UACGUAGGGUGCGAGCGUUAAUCGGAAUUACUGGGCGUAAAGCGUGCGCAGGCGGUUUGCUAAGACAGGUGUGAAAGCCCCGGGCUUAACCUGGGAAUUGCGCUUGUGACUGGCAGACUGGAGUGUGGCAGAGGGAGGUGGAAUUCCACGUGUAGCAGUGAAAUGCGUAGAGAUGUGGAGGAACACCGAUGGCGAAGGCAGCCUCCUGGGCCAGCACUGACGCUCAUGCACGAAAGCGUGGGGAGCAAACAGG